rnacentral:rRNA from 1 species
UACGGAAUGUGCAAACGUUAUUCGGAAUCACUGGGCUUAAAGAGUCCGUAGGCGGCUUGUUAGGUGAGUUGUGAAAUCCCUCGGCCCAACCGAGGAAUUGCGCUUCAAACCGGCAAGCUAGAGGAGGAUAGAGGUGGGCGGAACUGAUGGUGGAGCGGUGAAAUGCGUUGAUAUCAUCAGGAACACCGGAGGCGAAGGCGGUCCACUGGGUCCUUUCUGACGCUGAGGGACGAAAGCUAGGGGAGCGAACGGG